rnacentral:rRNA from 1 species
UGGGGAAUUUUGGACAAUGGGCGAAAGCCUGAUCCAGCAAUGCCGCGUGUGUGAAGAAGGCCUUCGGGUUGUAAAGCACUUUUGUCCGGAAAGAAAUGGCUCUGGUUAAUACCUGGGGUCGAUGACGGUACCGGAAGAAUAAGGACCGGCUAACUACGUGCCAGCAGCCGCGGUAAUACGUAGGGUCCAAGCGUUAAUCGGAAUUACUGGGCGUAAAGCGUGCGCAGGCGGUUGUGCAAGACCGAUGUGAAAUCCCCGAGCUUAACUUGGGAAUUGCAUUGGGUACUGCACGGCUAGAGUGUGUCAGAGGGGGGUAGAAUUCCACGUGUAGCAGUGAAAUGCGUAGAGAUGUGGAGGAAUACCGAUGGCGAAGGCAGCCCCCUGGGAUAACACUGACGCUCAUGCACGAAAGCGUGGGGAGCAAACAGG